UACGUAGGGUGCGAGCGUUGUCCGGAAUUAUUGGGCGUAAAGGGCUCGUAGGCGGUUUGUCGCGUCGGGAGUGAAAACCCAGGGCUUAACUCUGGGCUUGCUUUCGGUACGGGCAGACUAGAGGUAUGCAGGGGAGAACGGAAUUCCUGGUGUAGCGGUGAAAUGCGCAGAUAUCAGGAGGAACACCGGUGGCGAAGGCGGUUCUCUGGGCAUUACCUGACGCUGAGGAGCGAAAGUGUGGGGAGCGAACAGG
rnacentral:rRNA from 1 species